UACGUAGGGCGCAAGCGUUGUCCGGAAUUAUUGGGCGUAAAGAGCUCGUAGGCGGUUUGUCGCGUCUGCUGUGAAAACCCGAGGCUCAACCUCGGGCCUGCAGUGGGUACGGGCAGACUAGAGUGCGGUAGGGGGAGAUUGGAAUUCCUGGUGUAGCGGUGGAAUGCGCAGAUAUCAGGAGGAACACCGAUGGCGAAGGCAGGUCUCUGGGCAUUAACUGACGCUGAGGAGCGAAAGCAUGGGGAGCGAACAGG
rnacentral:rRNA from 1 species